AGCGAACGCUGGCGGCAGGCCUAACACAUGCAAGUCGAACGGAUCCUUCGGGAUUAGUGGCGGACGGGUGAGUAACACGUGGGAACGUGCCCUUUGGUUCGGAACAACUCAGGGAAACUUGAGCUAAUGCCGGAUGUGCCCUUCGGGGAAAGAUUUAUCGCCAUUGGAGCGGCCCGCGUCUGAUUAGCUAGUUGGUGAGGUGAAGGCUCACCAAGGCGACGAUCAGUAGCUGGUCUGAGAGGAUGAUCAGCCACAUUGGGACUGAGACACGGCCCAAACUCCUACGGGAGGCAGCAGUGGGGAAUCUUGCGCAAUGGGCGAAAGCCUGACGCAGCCAUGCCGCGUGAAUGAUGAAGGUCUUAGGAUUGUAAAAUUCUUUCACCGGGGACGAUAAUGACGGUACCCGGAGAAGAAGCCCCGGCUAACUUCGUGCCAGCAGCCGCGGUAAUAC
rnacentral:rRNA from 1 species